rnacentral:rRNA from 1 species
GACAGAGGGUGCAAACGUUGUUCGGAAUUACUGGGCGUAAAGCGCGUGUAGGCGGCUAUGCAAGUCGGAUGUGAAAGCCCUCGGCUCAACCGGGGAAGUGCACCCGAAACUGCAAAGCUAGAGUCUCGGAGAGGAUCGUGGAAUUCUCGGUGUAGAGGUGAAAUUCGUAGAUAUCGAGAGGAACACCAGUGGCGAAGGCGGCGAUCUGGGAAGAUGACUGACGCUGGAGGUGACGAAAGCGUGGG